rnacentral:lncRNA from 10 species
GAAGAAAACCCUCCUGGAGCCUGGAUUUAAGGUGGGGAGAAGACAGGGAGGAGACUGCAGUGUGUGCCAAGUGUCCUGGGAAAAGAACUCAUGUUUUUUGUGGCCCUGCUAAGGCAUGGUGCAAGACACCUUCAUCGAUGCAGCAGGGGCUCCCCAAGCACCUUCUGCACACCUAGCGCUGAUCUGGGGGCAGGGACACAGCCAGACUGUCUGCCCCAAAUCUGGGUUAGUCCAAAGUUGGAGCAGACAGACAAGGUCCCUGCCCCCAGGGAGGAGGAAAGGUAAGAUGAAUGAAAGCAAACAAUAAGGAAGAAUCUCAGCGAUGACUGCUAUGAGAAAGUGGAGCCAGGCCCAGUGAAGGGGGAAAGUUGGUGUGACGUUUUCCAGAUCCUCCGCAGGAAUGGCCCACAAGACCCAGAGCCUGGCAAACUGCAUGGGCAGUGCCCAAAAUUGCCACCCCAGGAGCAGAGGCCACUGAUGUGCAGCAGUUCAAAUGUUGCCCUAGAAGGUGCUUCUCCAGGACUUCCCCUGCGAGCCUGUGUGGCAGGAAGCAAGACAGGAUAAGGGCAGGUGUCUGUCUGCCUGAGCAGCAUAAACCGGGGAACCUUCCGCCGUGCACAGACCUGUCUACUGGAGGGCUCCUGGCUCAAAGACGGACUGGCCAGGAUCCCAGGGGAUCCCCCAGCACCUAGUCUCUGUGGUCUGAGAGGUACAGGAAUAUUUGGGAGUGGUGAGUUCCCCCUCCCUGGAGGUGACCAAGCCCAAGCUGAAGGGGAACCCUGCAUAGUUAAUGGCCACCCUCAGCCCUCCAGCCCCUUUUAUGGGGUUAGUCCAGAGUUGGAAGCAUGUGAGCCCACAGGGCAUGGAAAUGUGCAGAGGGCUCUGCAGACCUGUGGAUUCACACUGACGAUUAGGUGAUGGGACCCUGGGGAAGUGCUGGGAUCCACGGCCAGAGAUCUCCUGACCAGUUUCUGAUAACUUAUUUAUCCAAGGACAGCAUGUCCUGUUACAACAUAAUUCCACAAAAAAAAAAAAAACCUUUUAACAUUCCUUAUGCUAAUGAAGAAAACCUAAUGUAUAGAUAAUAAUUUAUUUAUUCAGAAACAUUGUAUCACUAUUUUAAGUUGAAUUACCACAAGAACAGUUUAACACCUAAGUGGCAUCCGUGGACCAGCAGCAUGGACAUCACCUGGGAGCUUGCAGAAAGAUUCUCAAGUCCUACUCUGGACCUUGAAUCAGAAUUUGUGCCUUAGCAAGAUCUUCAGGUAAUUUAUAUGUACACGGAAAAGAAUCAAAAGGAGGUAUAAUCAUGACUCUCAUACAGAUAUAGAAUGAGCCUGGAUCAAAAGUUUUAUUUCACUCAUUCAUUAAUGAGGAAACCACUAAGAUGUUACAAUCAAUUCAAAGGAGAAUGCAAAAGUAGACACAUAAUAUAGGUCAUCAGGAAUCUGAAGUGAAUUUACAAACAGAUGCAAAACUGGCAAAAAAAAAAAAUCUAUAGGGCAAUAAUCAGUUGCAUUGCAUUGGACAUAAUUUAUAUUUAUAUGGACAAGAAUCAUUUGCAUUACCAUCA